GCCCUUGUAGUAUAGCCAGGUCCAGAAUUCGGCCCUGUCACGGCUGAGACGCGAGUUCAAAUCCCGCCAAGGGCGCCA
rnacentral:tRNA from 2 species